AUUUAAAUAGCUUAUUUGAAAAGCAUAAUAUUGAAGAUAUUAAGAAAAUUAAAGAUAAUUUUUAGAUA
rnacentral:tRNA from 1 species